GAUGAACGCUGACAGAAUGCUUAACACAUGCAAGUCUUUGGCGAAGCUGUGCUUGCACCGCCUAGCCAAGGCGGACGGGUGAGUAACGCGUAAGGAACUUGCCCUGCAGUCAGGGAUAACAGACGGAAACGACUGAUAAGACCUGGUAAAGUCAGGCGGACUCAUGUCCAGCCUGAUGAAAAGAGAUGCUGCAGGAGAGCCUUGCGUCCUAUUAGCUUGUUGGUGGGGUAACGGCCCACCAAGGCGAUGAUAGGUAGCCGGCCUGAGAGGGUGGACGGCCACAAGGGGACUGAGAUACGGCACUUACUCCUACGGGAGGCAGCAGUGGGGAAUAUUGGACAAUGGGGGCAACCCUGAUCCAGCAAUUCUGUGUGCAAGAUGAAGGUUUUUGGAUUGUAAAGUGCUUUCAGCAGGGAAGAAAAAAAUGACGGUACCUGCAGAAGAAGCGACGGCUAAAUACGUG
rnacentral:rRNA from 1 species